CGGUCGCCUGCGAGGUGCUGCAUGGUUGUCGUCAGCUCGUGCCGUGAGGUGUUGGGUUAAGUCCCGCAACGAGCGCAACCCCUAUUCAGUUGCAGCGGUAAUGCUGAGGACUCUGGAGAGACUGCCGCGUAAGCGGAGGAAGGUGGGGACGACGUCAAAUCAUCAUGGCCUUUAUGCCUGGGGCGACACACGUGCUACAAUGGCGUAUACAGAGGGAGCCAGACCGCGAGGUUGAGCGAAUCCCACAAAGUACGUCCCAGUUCGGAUCGAAGUCUGCAACCCGACUCGUGAAGGGGAAUCGCUAGUAAUCGCGCAUCAGCCAUGGCGCGGUGAAUACGUUCCCGGACCUUGUACACACCUCC
rnacentral:rRNA from 1 species